GAGAUCGGGAUAACACCUGGAAACAGAUGCUAAUACCGGAUAACAACAGAUGAUGCCUAUCAACUGUUUAAAAGAUGGUUCUGCUAUCACUCUUGGAUGGACCUGCGGUGCAUUAGCUAGUUGGUAGGGUAACGGCCUACCAAGGCGAUGAUGCAUAGCCGAGUUGAUAGACUGAUCGGCCACAUUGGGACUGAGACACGGCCCAAACUCCUACGGGAGGCAGCAGGA
rnacentral:rRNA from 1 species